rnacentral:lncRNA from 1 species
CCUUGUUCGACGGACCCGCCCGCACCUAUUUUUUUCAAAACAGAUUUUUUUUUAUUUUAUUAUUUUCCCGCUUCCCGCAUCCGGAAAUGAAAUCAUGUCCAUUUCCCGCACCGUUUUUUUUUGUAAAUAUUAUAUAAAAGAUCUCAACAUUUGUUUUUUAAAAUCACAGUCUAGCCUUUCUAUAACGAUUUUAAACCUAUCAGCACCCCACAACACUGUAAAUAUCUGCGAGAAUAUUUGUUUCAGCCUGAAACCAAUUUAUUCUAAGCGGGAGUGCUCCGAUAUAAAUAGAAAUACCACUACAAAACAAAACGUUGGUUUCUUUCCCCCUAACUUAUAUUCCCUAUAAAAAAAAUGUUCGUUGUUAAAAUAAAGUAUAAACAUGACAAAGAACUUCUGAAGGAUUUGCCUUCAACUGUAAUUAUAAUGUAUGGUGACGGUCAUACCCGCUGCAGGUUUGUGCACCUGUCCUGGUU